ensembl:processed_transcript
UAUGCAGAACAUUAGAAGUGUUGAAAAUCAUCGCCGACACACAAACCUGAAGGAUGACAAAGUAGGAGUAAAAGCACCAGAAGCCCAGAGAUCUUUACUCCAGGAGAAGACGCUGUGGAAACCAUCUUCAGUGUUGAGACAGAUGAAAGGAAGUGAAACCUGCCUGCCCUUCCUCUUCUGGGAUCAAUGAGGAAA